AAUGGACAGUAGUGGACAUAGUGGACAGUAGUGGAUGAUAGUGGACAUAGUGGACAGUAGUGGACAUUAGUGGACAACAGUGCUGGACAGUAGUGGACAGUAGUGGACGGUAGUGGAUAGCAGUAGACAGCAGUGGACAGUAGUGGACAGCAGUGGAUGGUGGUGGACAGUAGUGGAUGGUAGUCGACAGUAGUGGACAGUAGUAGACAAUAGUAGGCAGUAGUGGACAGCAGUGGAUUAUAGUGGAGAGUAGUGGACAGUAAUGGACAGUAGUGGACACUGGUAGACAGUAGUGGACAGUGGACAGCAGUGGAUAUUAGUGUACAGUAGUAGACAGUGGUGGACAGUAGUGGACAUUAGUAGACAGUAGUGGACGGUAGUGGA